rnacentral:rRNA from 1 species
CUACUGACUGACCGAUAGUGAACCAGUACCGUGAGGGAAAGGCGAAAAGAACCCCUGUUAGGGGAGUGAAAUAGAACCUGAAACCGUGUACGUACAAGCAGUGGGAGCCCACUUGUUGGGUGACUGCGUACCUUUUGUAUAAUGGGUCAGCGACUUACAUUCUGUAGCGAGGUUAACCGAAUAGGGGAGCCGUAGGGAAACCGAGUCUUAACUGGGCGAAUAGUUGCAGGGUGUAGACC